CCAGGGGGAUACUUAACGCUUUCGCUUGGCCGCUAACAGUAUAUCGCUAACAGCGAGUUAUCAUCGUUUACGGCAUGGACUACCAGGGUAUCUAAUCCUGUUCGCUCCCCAUGCUUUCGUGCCUCAGCGUCAGUUACGGCUUAGUAAGCUGCCUACGCUAUCGGUGUUCUUUAUGGUAUCUAUGCAUUUCACCGCUACACCAUAAAUUCCGCCUACUUCAACCGUACUCAAGCUCUCCAGUAUCAAUGGCAGUUCCGCAGUUAAGCUGCGGGCUUUCACCACUGACUUAAAGAGCCGCCUACGCACCCUUUAAACCCAAUAAAUCCGGACAACGCUCGCACCCUCCGUAUUACCGCGGCUGCUGGCACGGAGUUAGCCGGUGCUUAUUCCUACAGUACCGUCAAUUGCUUACGCAUAAGCUUUUUCUUCCUGUAGAAAAGUAGUUUACAACCCAGAAGGCCGUCAUCCUACACGCGGCAUGGCUGGUUCAGGCUCUCGCCCAUUGACCAAUAUUCCCUACUGCUGCCUCCCGUA
rnacentral:rRNA from 1 species